AGAAUGAACGCUGGCGGCGUGCUUAACACAUGCAAGUCGCACGAGAACUCUUCUGCUUGCAGAAGAUAGUAAAGUGGCGCACGGGUGAGUAACGCGUGGGUAAUCUACCUCUGAAUUGGGGAUAACAUUGUGAAAGCGAUGCUAAUACCGAAUAAUAUCCCGAGAACUUAGGCUUUUGGGAUCAAAGGUGGCCUCUACAUGUAAGCUACUGUUUAGAGAUGAGCCCGCGUACCAUUAGCUUGUUGGUAGGGUAAUGGCCUACCAAGGCAACGAUGGUUAGCUGGUCUGAGAGGAUGAUCAGCCACACUGGAACUGACACACGGUCCAGACUCCUACGGGAGGCAGCAGUGAGGAAUUUUGCGCAAUGGGGGAAACCCUGACGCAGCAACGCCGCGUGAGUGAUGAAGGCUUUCGAGUCGUAAAGCUCUGUCAAGUGAGAAGAACCUACUUUUUGUUAAUACCAUUAAGUACUGACGGUAUCACUGAAGGAAGCACCGGCUAACUCCGUGCCAGCAGCCGCGGUAAUACGGAGGGUGCAAGCGUUAUUCGGAAUUAUUGGGCGUAAAGGGCGCGUAGGCGGUCUUUUAAGUCAGAUGUGAAAGCCCGGGGCUCAACCCCGGAAGUGCAUUUGAAACUAAGGGACUUGAGUAUGGGAGAGGGAAGUGGAAUUCCUGGUGUAGAGGUGAAAUUCGUAGAUAUCAGGAGGAACACCGGUGGCGAAGGCGACUUCCUGGACCAAUACUGACGCUGAGGCGCGAAGGCGUGGGGAGCAAACAGGAUUAGAUACCCUGGUAGUCCACGCAGUAAACGGUGAACACUAGGUGUAGCGGGUAUUGACCCCUGCUGUGCCGCAGUUAACGCAUUAAGUGUUCCGCCUGGGGAGUACGACCGCAAGGUUAAACUCAAGGAAUUGACGGGGGCCCGCACAAGCGGUGGAGCAUGUGGUUUAAUUCGACGCACGCGAAGAACCUUACCUGGAUUUGACAUCCCGAGAGUCUUUUGAAAGAAA
rnacentral:rRNA from 1 species